rnacentral:rRNA from 1 species
UCAAGCUACAAAGGGCGCAUGGUGAAUGCCUUGGCAUCAGGAGCCGAUGAAGGACGUGAUAAGCUGCGAUAAGCUUCGGGUAGGCGCACAUAGCCAGUGAUCCGGAGAUUUCCGAAUGUGGGAACACACAUGGGAAACCCCAUGUAUCGUAUAGUGAAUACAUAGCUAUACGAGGGUAAACCUAGGGAACUGAAACAUCUAAGUACCUAGAGGAAGAGAAAGAAAAAUCGAUUUCCUAAGUAGCGGCGAGCGAAAGGGAAAGAGCCCAAACCAAAGAUUUAUCUUUGGGGUUGCGGACAGAACAUUAACGAGAAGUCGUGAUUAACCGAACACAACUGGAAAGUUGGACCGUAGGAGGUAAUAGUCCUGUAGGUGAAAGUCAAGAUAAUCAAGUUCUGAUCCAGAGUACCACGAGACACGUGAAACCUUGUGGGAAGCAGGGAGGACCACCUCCCAAGGCUAAAUACUACCUGAUGACCGAUAGUGAAGCAGUACCGUGAGGGAAAGGUGAAAAGAACCCCGGGAGGGGAGUGAAAUAGAACCUGAAACCGUGUGCCUACAACCGGUCAAAGCCCCUUAUGAGGGUGAUGACGUGCUUUUUGUAGAACGAGCCAACGAGUUACGGUAUGUAGCAAGGUUAAGUACUUAAGGUACGGAGCCGAAGGGAAACCGAGUCUUAAUAGGGCGACUAGUUGCAUGCCGUAGACCCGAAACCGGGUGACCUAUCCAUGGCCAGGUUGAAGCGAGGGUAAAACUUCGUGGAGGACCGAACCACGUUGCUGUUGAAAAAGCAUGGGAUGAGCUGUGGAUAGCGGAGAAAUUCCAAUCGAACUCGGAGAUAGCUGGUUCUCCCCGAAAUAGCUUUAGGGCUAGCGUCGGAUAUGUGUAGUGGAGGUAGAGCACUGAAUGGGCUAGGGGGCAUAUCGCUUACCGAACCUUAUCAAACUCCGAAUGCCAUAUACAUUAAGUCCGGCAGUCAGACUACGAAUGAUAAGAUCCGUGGUCAAAAGGGAAACAGCCCAGACCGUCAGCUAAGGUCCCAAAGUGUAAGUUAAGUGGAAAAGGAUGUGGGAUUUCUAAGACAACUAGGAUGUUGGCUUAGAAGCAGCCACUCAUUUAAAGAGUGCGUAAUAGCUCACUAGUCGAGAGAUCCUGCGCCGAAAAUGUACCGGGGCUAAACUUACCACCGAAGCUACGGAUUUGCAAGUAAUUGCAAGUGGUAGGGGAGCGUCGUAAUCGGGCUGAAGUCGUACCGGAAGGAGCGGUGGACUGAUUACGAGUGAGAAUGUUGGCAUUAGUAGCGAGAUGUAGGUGAGAAUCCUACAGGCCGAAUAUCUAAGGUUUCCUCAGGAAGGCUCGUCCGCUGAGGGUUAGUCGGGACCUAAGCCGAGGCCGAAAGGCGUAGGCGAUGGACAAUCGGUUGAUAUUCCGAUACCACUACCAUCGUUAUUAUCGAGGGUGUGACGGAGAAGGAUAGUGUGUGCUAGCGAUUGGAAAUGCUAGUCUAAGCGUUUAGGGAGUUACGGUAGGCAAAUCCGCUGUAACAAUUCUGAGGCGUGAUGGGGAAGGUCAUUAAGACCGAAGUACAUGAUUCCAUGCUUCCAAGAAAAGCAUCUAGAGAGAGAAGUAGUGCCCGUACCGCAAACCGACACAGGUAGAUGAGGAGAGAAUCCUAAGGCCGGCGGAAGAAUUGCAGUUAAGGAACUAGGCAAAUUGACCCCGUAAGUUCGCGAGAAGGGGUGCCUGCGAGAGCAGGCCGCAGAGAAUAGGCCCAAGCAACUGUUUAGCAAAAACACAGGUCUCUGCUAAAGCGUAAGCUGAUGUAUAGGGGCUGACGCCUGCCCGGUGCUGGAAGGUUAAGGGGAACACUUAGCGCAAGCGAAGGUGUGAACUUAAGCCCCAGUAAACGGCGGCCGUAACUAUAACGGUCCUAAGGUAGCGAAAUUCCUUGUCAGGUAAGUUCUGACCCGCACGAAUGGCGUAAUGACUUGGGCACUGUCUCAACUGCAAAUCCGGCGAAGUUGUAGUGCGAGUGAAGAUGCUCGCUACCCGCGAUUGGACGGAAAGACCCCGUAGAGCUUUACUGUAGCUUAGCAUUGAAUUCCGGUAUUGUCUGUACAGGAUAGGUGGGAGACUGGGAAACUAGGGCGUCAGCCUUAGUGGAGUCAACCUUGGGAUACCACCCUGACAGUACUGGGGUUCUAACAGGACGCCAUGAAGCUGGUGACUGGACAUUGUUAGGUGGGCAGUUUGACUGGGGCGGUCGCCUCCUAAAAAGUAACGG